GUCCCAUCCACCACACUACCAGGUGGGUGGUAUAGAGGAGAUGGACCCACUGGUUGUCCUCUAGGUUACAGAGAGCUGGUAGUCCCAUCCACCACACUACCAGGUGGGUGGUAUAGAGGAGAUGGACCCACUGGUUGUCCUCUAGGUUACAGAGAGCUGGUAGUCCCAUCCACCACACUACCAGGUGGGUGGUAUAGAGGAGAUGGACCCACUGGUUGCCCUCUAGGUUACAGAGAGCUGGUAGUCCCAUCCACCACACUACCAGGUGGGUGGUAUAGAGGAGACGGACCCACUGGUUGUCCUCUAGGUUACAGAGAGCUGGUAGUCCCAUCCACCACACUACCAGGUGGGUGGUAUAGAGGAGAUGGACCCACUGGUUGCCCUCUAGGUUACAGAGAGCUGGUAGUCCCAUCCACCACACUACCAGGUGGGUGGUAUAGAGGAGACGGACCCACUGGUUGUCCUCUAGGUUACAGAGAGCUGGUAGUCCCAUCCACCACACUACCAGGUGGGUGGUAUAGAGGAGACGGACCCACUGGUUUCCCUCUAGGUUACAGAGAGCUGGUAGUCCCAUC